rnacentral:rRNA from 1 species
GAAUGCUGGCGGCGUAGCCUAAUACAUGCAAGUCGAGCGGUAACAGGGCUUCACCGUGUCUGACGCACUUGGCCAUAGAGCAAGUAGCUGAUUUCGAGAGCACAGUGAAGCUGCUGACGAGCGGCGGACGGCUGAGUAACGCGUGGGAACGGACCCCAAACUGAGGGAUAACGCACCGAAAGGUGUGCUAAUACCGCAUAUGAUCUUCGGAUUAAAGGAUUUUCCGGUUUGGGACUGGCCUGCGUACGAUUAGAUAGUUGGCGGGGUAAUAGCCCACCAAGUCGACGAUCGUUAGAUGGUUUGAGAAGAUGAUCAUCCAGACUGGGACUGAGACACGGCCCAGACUCCUACGGGAGGCAGCAGUAGGGAAUCUUGGACAAUGGGGGCAACCCUGAUCCCAGCCAUGCCGCGUGAGUGAAGAAGGCCUUAGGGUCGUAAAGCUCUUUCGCCUGUGAAGAUAAUGACGGUAGCAGGUAAAGAAACCCCGGCUAACUCCGUGCCAGCAGCCGC